CCUAGGGGACCCCCCCACCCCCCGACCCCGACCUCAGUCGGUGGUGAGACCACAGUCCUCUUCAGACAGGACCCGAAAGUACCAUGCUGGACCCCAUGACAUCAUCCCCCCGAUGAAGACAUCGCCAAACCAGGAACCCCAGAACCAGAUCUGCCACGUUGUGCCGGGAGGAUCCCAGCAAGGAGCUUCAUCAGAAUGAUUGUCAUCUUUUGGUUGAUUCUCAUUGCAGGAACCAUGUGGAAGGGCUAUAAGUAUCCCCCAGCAGGGGUCGUGAUCAACGCGGCAAAAGAAGAUCCCCCUGAACUGAUGCAGGUCUGAACCCGAACAUGGCCAACUGCUCAGCUCCCGUUGGUGGUUUCACAUAAAGUGACUACACAUA